CGCUCUCUUUCCUUUGUUCUUCGUGUGCCGCCAUUAACACCCUCUGAGAGUGUAAAAAAUUCAGCUCGAAACCACACUAGUUUCACCUAAAAAUUAAUCUAGGUUUGAGUUCGAGUCUGUUCCAUUUUAGAUGGGUUAUGUAUUCUGUUAGUUAUAUGGAUCGUUUGGCCUAAAAUUUGAUCGAUGAAGAUGAAGAAGAUGGUUGAGACUUGAUUCUACUGAUGAUAAAUUACGUUGGUUUAAUCUUUUUCUUUGAAGAGAGAACUGCUCAAGCACAGAACUUUAAAAAUUGAAGGUCCUCAAGAGACAAGGAGCAUUUCUGAAUAAAAACAGGUGGAGGAUAGGAAGGAAAAACUUACAAAACUACUGGAUUGGAAUGGCUUGGAGAUUACAAAGGCAUACAUGCUUGAUACACGAGGCCGUGCAGUCAAAAUUCAAAAAAUCGGAAAAGACUGCUCCUUUUGGUUGGGAUGUAGGUUGAGCAUGAAGAAGACAUGGUGUUGUUGCUGACAUGGUUGAUGGCAGUAGAGGAUAUGAGCUGAUGGAAAUCUGUGUUUAUGGAGUCUGUCAUGGCUUCAUCUCGGCAAAGAUUACAAAAAGGGGAGAAGACUGUUAAUGGGUGUGUGGUUAUUGCAGGUGUUUGGUCUGAACUGCAGUUAUCUGUUGGAAUGGAGAACAUGGGUCUGUUGUGGUUGGCGUUGGUCUGAGUUUUAUAGAUGAAUGUUAGGAUUCAUGAACAAAUUGCAGGUGACAGAGAAGUGGUUUGAUGAGUUUGAAGAUGUUGUUGGACUGAUACUUUUAAGCCAU